rfam:Aedes albopictus isolate Foshan contig157963, whole genome shotgun sequence.
UGUUCUGUAGCUUAGUUGGUUAAUGCGCAUGACUUGCAAUACGGAGUCGUGAGUUUGAAUCCCACCAAAACAA